UCUCUUGAGUGGUGCGCCUCCGGACUUCUGGGAAAUAUUGGAAAUCAUUACUCACUGAUGUGGAGAGGGAUCGGCGCCAUUUGAGGGAGAAAAUCAGAGUGGAGCCGAGAGGACAGAUGUGAAGCGUCCGACCUCCACAGCAGCUUCCAUACCUCUUCAUCCGCCGCUUGUUCCAAAAACUACUCAACAAUUUAUACCUGAAAUCCCCAAAUCUUAAAAAGAUGACGUGAAGGACUCCAGAAGUUUGAGAUCCGACACCAAACUUCGGGGGAAGUGACUCCCGGACGUUUUUUGUCGUCAGAGAUGCACGAGAACAGAGAACUGGUGGAAAUGUCUCCGAACACCAAAGUAUCCCCUUCACGUCACUUCAGGUCUUCACACGGUUUGAUCGUUAAGUGACGGACGCUCCGCUGCAGCUGCCUCAUUAUUUGGGAGUUUUUAUAAUUUCCCUACAGAACAAAGAGCUGAUGUUUCCUGCAGCUGCUCAGGUGUCCUCCUCCUCCUCCUCCUCCUCCUCCUCCUCCUCCUCUUCUUCGCUGUGGAAACUAAAUGCAUUCUCAUCUAAUCCACAAAAACUGGCUCCUGGGGUGAAAACGCUGCUGAGCAACUAGAGGAGGAGACAACUCGAAUUUGUUUAAACCCACAAACCCAACGGCUGCUCAGACUUUUACAGUGAAGCGGCUGCAGGACGCGUGUUUGCAAGAGUCAAUUAGGAGAUUAAUUGAUUUAUCUGCGACUAUUUUGAUGAUCAAAUAACUGUUACAGUCAUUUUUAAGCAGAACAUGACAAAGACUCCCUGAUUCCAGCUCCUCUGGUGUGAGACUUUUCUGCUUGUCUGUGUUUUCUGUAGUGAUUUCAGAGUGUUGGUCAAAACAACAAGAAAACAACUUUUCU